rnacentral:rRNA from 1 species
CAGCCGCCGCGGUAAUACAGAGGGUGCGAGCGUUAAUCGGAUUUACUGGGCGUAAAGCGUGCGUAGGCGGCUUCUUAAGUCGUAUGUGAAAUCCCUGAGCUUAACUUAGGAAUUGCAUUCGAUACUGGGAAGCUAGAGUAUGGGAGAGGAUGGUAGAAUUCCAGGUGUAGCGGUGAAAUGCGUAGAGAUCUGGAGGAAUACCGAUGGCGAAGGCAGCCAUCUGGCCUAAUACUGACGCUGAGGUACGAAAGCAUGGGGAGCAAACAGGAUUAGAUACCCCUGUAGUCCCUGUCUCUUAUAC